GGUAAUGAAGUAUAAACUCCUAAACCGCUGUAGAACCCUGUGGAACUAGAGGAUUCCAACACAUGUUUAAUGACAAGUUAUCACCCACACAGUUUGGUAAUUUGUCGGUAGACUACUUCAAAGAAAAACUGAAAAGAGAAGGAUAUUAGGAACACCCCCAAGAACUUUUCCGAGAACACAAAUAAAAAGAAGAAACAAAAAAAACGAAGCUUUCUGUCAACGGAGUCGACACAAUGAAUUUUUCAGUAGUCUCCUUUUGUCGUAUCCCAGCAUUAGAUGAGCAGUAAACCACUGUUUUCAUCUCUAUCUUCUUGUGAAGAUCAUAGCCUAUGAGGUCAAAGUCAGCAGCCACAAAAUAAUCUAUUUGUUUCUUCUCAAGGUUAAUCUUCAAAGCCUGCAGUAGUGAGGCCACGGUGAAAAACAUGUGUUAAAUGUUACACUAGUCUAACUUAAGAUUGAAAAAAUUUAUCAAUUUAUAGCCACAAAAGGGUAUUUGUGUCGAGACACUAAGGGUCAUUUAUACAGAAUAAAAACAAGCUUUGUGCCGUCGGAAUCGACACAAUCAAUUUGUCGGUAGUCUCCUUUUGGUCAUAUCCCAGUACAAGAUACAGCACUAAACCGCCAUUUUCAUCUCUAUCUUCUUGUGAGGAUCAUAUCCUGUAAGGUCAAAGUCAGCAGCCACAAAAGAAUCGAUUUGUUUCUUCUCCGGGUUUAUUUUCAAAAC
rnacentral:lncRNA from 1 species